AGUGAACGCUGGCGGUAGGCCUAACACAUGCAAGUCGAACGGCAGCACAGUAAGAGCUUGCUCUUACGGGUGGCGAGUGGCGGACGGGUGAGGAAUACAUCGGAAUCUACUUUUUCGUGGGGGAUAACGUAGGGAAACUUACGCUAAUACCGCAUACGACCUACGGGUGAAAGCAGGGGAUCUUCGGACCUUGCGCGAUUGAAUGAGCCGAUGUCGGAUUAGCUAGUUGGCGGGGUAAAGGCCCACCAAGGCGACGAUCCGUAGCUGGUCUGAGAGGAUGGUCGGCCACACUGGAACUGAGACACGGUCCAUACUCCUACGGGAGGCAGCAGUGGGGAAUAUUGGACAGUGGGCGCAAGCCUGAUCCAGCCAUACCGCGUGGGUGAAGGAGGCCUUCGGGUUGUAAAGCCCUUUUGUUGGGAGAGAAAAGCAUCAGGUUAAUACCCCGCUGUUCUGACGGUACCCAAAGAAUAAGCACCGGCUAACUUCGUG
rnacentral:rRNA from 1 species